rnacentral:rRNA from 1 species
CCUACGGGUGGCACCAGUGGGGAAUUUUGGACAAUGGGCGAAAGCCUGAUCCAGCCAUGCCGCGUGCAGGAUGAAGGCCUUCGGGUUGUAAACUGCUUUUGUACGGAACGAAAAGCCUCUUUCUAAUAAAGAGGGGUCAUGACGGUACCGUAAGAAUAAGCACCGGCUAACUACGUGCCAGCAGCCGCGGUAAUACGUAGGGUGCAAGCGUUAAUCGGAAUUACUGGGCGUAAAGCGUGCGCAGGCGGUUUUGUAAGACAGAGGUGAAAUCCCCGGGCUCAACCUGGGAACUGCCUUUGUGACUGCAAGGCUGGAGUGCGGCAGAGGGGGAUGGAAUUCCGCGUGUAGCAGUGAAAUGCGUAGAUAUGCGGAGGAACACCGAUGGCGAAGGCAAUCCCCUGGGCCUGCACUGACGCUCAUGCACGAAAGCGUGGGGAGCAAACAGGAUUAGAUACCCUAGUAGUC